UGAAAAAUAAAUUAAAAAAUUAAAAGACUUCAAAUCUUUCUAUACUAGCAAAUCUAGUUUUUUCAG
rnacentral:tRNA from 1 species